UCCUCAGUGGCGCAAUUGGCUAGCGCUUCUAAAGAUUGCUAUCUGGGUAUUCAGUAGGUAGUCAUCAGACGGUUGAAAGUUCGAGUCUUUCCCGAGGAG